CGCUGCAAAGCCCAGGCGAUUGGCUAGCCGGGACUGGAUGGCCUGUUUUGUUCUCCAGGCGCUGAUCUGGAGAGUUCGUACCAGCUUUUUCCAGUCUGAAUAGGAACCAUCACUCCAUCUCCACUCGCUGGUGCUGGAUCUUGCUCCAUUAUCUUCACAUUUCCAUACUGAGCCCUGUGACAGACACAAGGCUGAGGACUGCCAUAGAGAACAUACAUUAGGAAAAAAAAAAGAAAAAAAAUAGCCUCAGUUAUUUCAACAAAUACCAAA
rnacentral:lncRNA from 1 species